ACUUCUUCGGUCUACCCCUACCCCGUCUAAAACCAUCCAACGCUAGCCUCUCACACCUACGGACCGGGGCAUCCAUGCCCCUCCUCUUCACGUGUCCGAACCAUCUCAAUCGUGCUUCCCGCAUCUUACACUCCACUGAAGUCACACCAACCUUCUCCUGGAUAGUCUCAUUCCGAACUCUAUCCCCUCGGGUCAGUCCACACAUCCAGCGCAACAUCUGCAUUUCUGCCACCUUCAUUCUUUGGAUGUGGGAGUUCUUAACUGGCCAACACUCUGCUCCAUACAGCAAGGCCGGACGGACUACCACCCUAUAUAAUUUGCCUUAAAGCUUGGGCGGCACCUUCUUAUCACACAGCACCCCCGAUGCGAGUUUCCACUUCAUCCAUCCCGCCCCAAUACGGUGC
rnacentral:lncRNA from 1 species